GAUGAACGCUGGCGGCGUGCCUAAUACAUGCAAGUCGAGCGAACGGACGAGAAGCUUGCUUCUCUGAUGUUAGCGGCGGACGGGUGAGUAACACGUGGAUAACCUACCUAUAAGACUGGGAUAACUUCGGGAAACCGGAGCUAAUACCGGAUAAUAUUUUGAACCGCAUGGUUCAAAAGUGAAAGACGGUCUUGCUGUCACUUAUAGAUGGAUCCGCGCUGCAUUAGCUAGUUGGUAAGGUAACGGCUUACCAAGGCAACGAUGCAUAGCCGACCUGAGAGGGUGAUCGGCCACACUGGAACUGAGACACGGUCCAGACUCCUACGGGAGGCAGCAGUAGGGAAUCUUCCGCAAUGGGCGAAAGCCUGACGGAGCAACGCCGCGUGAGUGAUGAAGGUCUUCGGAUCGUAAAACCCUGUUAUUAGGGAAGAACAGAUGUGCAAGUAACUGUGCACAUCUUGACGGUACCUAAUCAGAAAGCCACGGCUAACUACGUG
rnacentral:rRNA from 1 species